rnacentral:rRNA from 1 species
GGCGACCACCGAGAUCUACACUCUUUCCCUACACGACGCUCUUCCGAUCUUGCCCAGUGCCGGAAGGUAAAGGAAGUUGGUUAUUUGACUCUUGAGUUCAAAGAAGCUGACCACCGAAGCCCCGGUAAACGGCGGCUGUAACUCUGACAGUCCUAAGGUAGCGAAAUUCCUUGCCAAGUAAGUUUUGGCCCGCACGAAAGGCGUAACGAUCUGGGCGCUGUCUCGGAGAGAGACUCGGUGAAAUAGAAAUGUCUGUGAAGAUGCGGACUACCUAUACCAGGACAGAAAGACCCUAUGAAGCUUGAAGGUAGCUUGGAAUUGGGUUCGGGCUCUUUUUGCGCAGUCUAGGUGGGAGGCGUUGAUGGUAGGGUUUCGGCCCUAUCGGAGCCAUCAGUGAGAGACCACUCUGAAAGAGCUAGAAUCCUAAUAGUAAUCCUUGAAGCAGGAUACUUGACAGUUUCAGGCGGACCUUUUUACUGGGGCGGUAGCCUCCUAAAAGGUAACGGAGGUGUGCAAAGGUUCCCUCAGGCUGGACGGAAAUCAGCUGUAGAGUGUAAAGGUAGAAGGGAGCUUGACUGCAAGACCUACAAGUCGAGCAGGCGCGAAAGCGGGCCUUAGUGAUCCGACGGUACCGAGUGGAAGGGCCGUCGCUCAACGGAUAAAAGUUACUCUAGGGAUAACAGGCUGAUCUCCCCCAAGAGUUCACAUCGACGGGGAGGUUUGGCACCUCGAUGUCGGCUCAUCGCAUCCUGGGGCUGAAGUAGGUCCCAAGGGUUGGGCUGUUCGCCCAUUAAAGCGGUACGCGAGCUGGGUUCAGAACGUCGUGAGACAGUUCGGUCCAUAUCCGGUGUAUGCGUAGGAAUAUUGAGAGGAUUUCUCCCUAGUACGAGAGGACCGGGAGGAACGCACCUCUGGUGUACCAGUUAUCGUGCCAACGGUAAACGCUGGGUAGCCAUGUGCGGAGUGGAUAACCGCUGAAAGCAUCUAAGUGGGAAGCCCACCUCAAGAUGAGUAUUCCCAUGGGGUAACCCAGUAAGGUCACGGGAAGAACACCCGUUGAUAGGCUCUACGUCGAAGUUCAGUAAUGGAUGCAGCGGAGGAGUACUAAUAGACCGAGGGCUUGACCCC